UAGGGAAUCUUCGGCAAUGGACGGAAGUCUGACCGAGCAACGCCGCGUGAGUGAAGAAGGUUUUCGGAUCGUAAAGCUCUGUUGUAAGAGAAGAACGAGUGUGAGAGUGGAAAGUUCACACUGUGACGGUAUCUUACCAGAAAGGGACGGCUAACUACGUGCCAGCAGCCGCGGUAAUACGUAGGUCCCGAGCGUUGUCCGGAUUUAUUGGGCGUAAAGCGAGCGCAGGCGGUUAGAUAAGUCUGAAGUUAAAGGCUGUGGCUUAACCAUAGUACGCUUUGGAAACUGUUUAACUUGAGUGCAAGAGGGGAGAGUGGAAUUCCAUGUGUAGCGGUGAAAUGCGUAGAUAUAUGGAGGAACACCGGUGGCGAAAGCGGCUCUCUGGCUUGUAACUGACGCUGAGGCUCGAAAGCGUGGGGAGCAAACAGGAUUAGAUACCCUGGUAGUCCACGCCGUAAACGAUGAGUGCUAGGUGUUAGACCCUUUCCGGGGUUUAGUGCCGUAGCUNACGCAUUAAGCACUCCGCCUGGGGAGUACGACCGCAAGGUU
rnacentral:rRNA from 1 species